GCAGCCGGCUUGUUGAGUAGAGUGUGAGCUCCGUAACUGGUCGCGUC
rnacentral:misc_RNA from 1 species